UCAGCUCCUUCUCUGUCACAACCCUGCACUCUGUCUCACACACACCAAAGACUCUGUUUAGAAACAUACACUACGCACCCACCGACCACGCAUCCCCACCGCAACUACUCUCUUUUAAGUGUAGUUACGACGUGUCUUACACUCCUUUCCUCCCCCUACUAAACACCUUUUUCGCAGCCAUGCAGCAGAGCCUCAUCCCCGGCCACAAUAACAACCGCCACCUGACCUAUGACGAGGUGGAGAACAACAUCGGUGGGCUGCCGGUGACGGACAACCGCAUCCAGGACCUGUUCGACUCCCUGGACGUGGACCACAGCGGCACCGUUUCGGUGGAGGUGGUGAAGAGGUUCUACAUGGGCCUCGAGCACUACGGUGUGGACCUCUCUGAUAAGGAGCUUGAUGAAAUGGUGCGCAAGUACGCCGCGACUCACGAUGAAUCCCUGAGCUACGAGGAGUUCGCGUGCUUCGUGCUCAGCCUUGCGCAGUGGUAAAAGAAACAAGAUGACCCUUCACGUGCAACAGGCAUUAGGAGGGAUGAAGUGGGUGUGGAGAGGCCAUGAGCCCGUGUUGCUGCCUGCGUGGGCAUGUGCUGGUGUGCUUCUCAGCACUAUGUAAUAUGUAUAUAUAUAUAUGCGCAUAUUGCUUUUUGAAGCUUUUUGUGCCUUGUCACUUGAUGCACGUUUGCCGGAGCAGAGCCCUCUCGCCGCCCGCCCUCAUUUUCCUCUUACUCGGUCUGCUUCGCAGGGCAACUUGUCUCCUUCUUUCUAUUCCUCAUCCUCCUCGAUUCUUCUAUCUGAUGUAUUCUAG
rnacentral:misc_RNA from 1 species